CAGGGGUGAUGUGGCCGGGCAGGGGUGAGGUGGUGACAAGAGGUUGUGGCUGACAGGAAAAAGAAAAGACCAGAAAGCAAACAGCGGGUACUUAAGUCAUUUAGCUUUAGAGAUGUCACAACACUCACAGCUUUACUAUCUAGAGGAAGAUGUAAAAGUCACAUGAUAUUUGCAAACUGUGUUGUUGCUGUUUCCAAAACAGGGUCCUACAGAACUAGCUCGUCCUGGCCUCGAACUCGCUUUGUAGCUGAGAAUGAUGUUCUGCUCAGAUCACAGCCUGUGGUACCAUGCCUGGGCUAUGCAGUGCUGAUGUUUGAACCCAGGGCUCUGUGAAUGCAAGCACGCUCUGGCCAAGCUGUGUUGCUGGUUUACACUUUGCUUUGUUGUGGUCUUUUUUAUUUGCCUGUUUUGUCUGAGAACCAUUUUCCCAGACAGCUCUGCCAGGCCCCAGCUGCUAGGGUUUCACCAAGGGAAGUGAGGGAAAGACCUUUGUCCUCAAGGAGAUCAGGUGAGAGAGCUUACACGGUGGUAAGGGGAGGGAGGAGGGAGGGAAGGAGAGAGAGAGAAAGCAGGAGCAGUAGAUGGCAGAGAGGGCUUUAUUUUUCUUUCUCUCAGUUUACUUAUUUUUAUCUAAUGUGCUGGGUGUUUUAUCUGCAUAAAACAUACAUGCAGUGUCUGUGGAGGCCAGAGGAGGGUGUCUGACCCAGUGCGGCUGGGGUUACAGGGUGGUGAACUGUCAUGUGGGUGCUGGGAAUUGAACCUAGAGCCUCUGCCAUAGCAGCCAGUGCUUUCAACCGCUGAGCCAUCUCUCCGACUGCCAGGAGGGUUUGCUCUUAAGCAAGAUGUCAGCAUUGCUGAGAAAAGAGCUGAGCCAAGGAGAAGGGAGCAGUAGAGAUGCCCAGAGCAGGAAUAGCCAUGCUGAGUGUGGGGUCAAGUGCAAGUUCUCUGAGGCAGGAGACUGCCGGGCAUGGGUGGAACAGUUUAUGCUGUGUGGAGGGAACCAGGGGAAAGCAGCCCUGGCUUCAGAGCUAGGGUGCAGACAGAUGCCCGAAGGCCCUGCUUGGGACAGCAGGAACUCAGGAAAACACGCAGGUUGACUCCCUGGGAACCGAGGCUGCUGAGGCCUCUGUGGGCACCACUGGGAGGCCCUGACCUGGUUGUGAUGAUGCUGUGCUGUGCAGAAAAGUAGGGAGGGCUGCUGUCCAGUGUGCCCAAGUAUGUGAUACCCAUGGGAAGGGAUCUGUGGACACCCCUGCAAAUUCAAAAUUCUCUCAGGCAAUAGAGGCAGGAAAAUGGUUUGAAAUAUCCAUAUCUAUAUAUAAUAUUACUUCAUUUAAGUUUUUAGACAAUAGGAUUGGUAUUUAGGAAAUAGGAUUUUUAAAUCCAAACUCAUCUUUUUAAAUAAUGUUUUUUGAGAUUUUUAUUUUUAGAGACAGGGUUUAGAGCCCUGGCUGUCCUGGACUCGCUUUGUAGUCCAGGCUGGCCUUAAACUCACAGAGAUCCUCCUGACUCUGCCUCUGCUUCCUGAGUACUGGGAUUAAAGGGUGUAAACCACCAUGCCUGGCUGUUUUGAGAUUAUAAUUAAAACAUUCUCCCCAUAACUUUUUAAAGCUUCAUUUAAAGUUGGCAUCGGGCUCAUUUCCAUUUUCUAAUAUUUUCUGUUCCUCAAAGGCAAUGUUGGCAUUGAAUAUAGGCUAAACAUUUAGUAUAGGCUGAACAUACAGUAUGCACACAUACCACCUUUAAAGAAAACCAAACCUGCCACUCUUAAAUAUUGCUAAUGAAGCCAGGUAAGGUGGCGUACACCUGUAAUCCCCAAAUGUGGGAGGUUGGGGCAGGGGGAUUUUUUUUUUUGAGGACAGCCUGGGCUCCACCAUGAGACUAUCUCAAGAGCCAAAAGCUAUCAUGUAGUCUGUGGUGGAUGCUUGGAGCAAUGGCAAGGCGCGUGUGUGCAUGCCUGCACGAGUGGCCCAAGCUACAUUUCUUCUUGUUGUCAGGUCCAGACAUGGAAGUUCUGGACCUGAGGGAACCUAUCAUUACCCUGCCCUUAGCCAGUGGACAGAGAGCUGAUAAUUCCGCUAUGUCAGUCUGUCUUGUACACUGUGGUGUGGUGUUGUGGUUUGAGGUGUCCACCAGCUAGCUGCUCAUCAACCACAUACAGAACUAUGAUUGUUGUUGAAUCAUGAUGCUCCUAAAGGGAGGCCUGAGUAGGAUGAUCUUCACAUGGAAGGCACAUCUGCUGGGUGCUUACAGUGGCUCACCCUCCAUCUCUCAGCUGCCCCUGGAGCCUUUCCUUGUGAGUGAAAAGUGUCUAUGUCCUGGUCAUCUAGAGGAAGGGAAGGUGGAAGUCCAGGCUUGGGGUACUGGUGAUUUUCUGGAAAACAGUGAGGAUGAGGGAAGGGACAUGAGCCCUCGGAGCGCUGGAAGCUGAGGCGGGGUACCAGGCAUUGCUAGGAAUCUAUGUGGAGAUGCUUGUGUGUUGGAGAGAGGUUGGGCUGACUGCUGGAAGGCAGACCUGUCUCAGAGAGGAGGGCGGCCCAGGCCACAGAUAUCCAGGGGGAGAAAGCUCUGCCUUUCCACCCUUUUGGGGUGGGGGGUAGGAGUGCUGGUUCAAACUCUGUAAGCAGAUUUGAGCAGACACAUCUCUGCCCCACCCUUGACAGUGGCUUGGCCUGGAUCUAAUCCCUCUGUUGUCUGUAAGUGGAAUUCACUUCUGAAGGAUGGAAGCUGGCAUGGCUCAGGACGGGGUGCACAGGGAAAGGAGCCGCCUGCCAUGGGUAGUUCUGUUUUACACACCUGCCAAGGCUUCCUCACAUACUCCCAGCACAGAGGGCAGUGGGAGGAUCCUCACUCUGUGAGGAGGACCGCAGCUCUGACUUGGCCCUGUGGCUUCCUCACAGCUGUGCUCUGUCCUCCACACGCUCCUAACCCCAGAGAGGCUGGUGUGCUCAAGUUCUCAGUGCUGCAGGUUAGUGGAUGUGUUAACCAAUCCCCCUGGGCCUCAAGGAUCCUUCUAGAAGGUGCUCAAGAGUCUGCAGACUGGAUGAGCCAGGCAAACUCCACAACAGCAAACUAAAAAACCCCAGACAGGCUGGGCUUUCCAAACAGCAGGGGGCUCUAUUCACCCAUAUAAUAAAUGAAAACAAAAAUUUUUUUUUUCUCUUUCAGUACAGAUUUGCUGUGGUAACAUAAUUUUUAAAACUGCUUAGGAAUCAAAUACUACAUUUUAAAUUUAACAUUUAAAUAAUUAUUAAAAUUUAAUUUAAAAGACAAAGAAAAGCCCUGCCAGGGCAGGAGGGUGUGGUCAGCAGUAGAGCACAGACAUACAGGAGCUCUGGCUUCAGACCCAGGGCCCCCCUGCAUAACACCCAUUAUAGAAAAUUCUUCAAAAGUGCGACCACACCCACUGCUCACGGAGUCCGACCUGGCCGGGCUCACCAUCCACAUGGCUACAGUAAUUAUCACACUGACAGUAGCAGCUCAGGCAUUUUCAGGGGAUUUGGUGAGCGUGGCCCUGAGGUAAGUGCUUCUGUCACUGGCUCCCUAAUUCUCAGAGCAGAGCGGCCCUGUGGGGAUCAUGUUGGCAGGAAACUGAGUCAGCCGGCCAGCCACACAGUCUUCCUCCAGUCUGCCUGGCUCCGAAGCCGAGAUCUUAACCACCUGGCCCUUCCACCUCACGGUGCUGCAAAUCACUUCUCCUUCUGGCCUCUCCCUGGGGUCUGGAAAGCAGCCAAGCGGUUGUAGGAAGCUCUCAUUUUGAACUCGGAGGAACUGGGAGUGAUCAUUACUCGUGAUCGGCGGUGGGGGGACGUCGGCAUGGGGGCACUCUAGUUUGCUCUGAAGUCUACAGCUGGAUGCAAGACGACCCUGGCAUUUCAGCCAACUGCUGCUUCGCCACUGACCCAGGGCAGGGCCGGGAGGGAGAAAACUUAGAUUCCAGCCCUGGCUUCUUUACUUUGAUGGGGGUCACACCUUCAGCUUCCUAAGCUUCUUGGAAACUUCAGGGAUUUGCUUGGCCUCCCUCAGAAUUCUGAACGGGUCCAGGACUGCACAGGUUGCCCCAGGGCGAUCGAUGCAAAGGGAGUGUUUUCUAUGGUGGGUACUGGUGUUUUCCUCUGAGGGAAGCAGCAGGCACGCCACCCGAGAGCAAAGCUUUGUGGAGGGAUAUUUUUGAGACUGAUGCAAAAGCCUAAGCAGUCAUGACGUUCCAGUGACUCAGCUGUGGGUGGAAGUGAUUUUAAAUAAUGACAGUAUCACCAUCUCCCCUCCCACAGUGUCACACAUCACCAAAGACAAGCUCCCUGGCCCUGAACCCAAUGAUUCAGCUACACCGCGCUGUGGUGAAGAGAACGAAGGGACUCAGACAAUGAUUCAUUAUGUAUCAUUGGCUGAACUCCUGUGUGGACUGUGCUGGCCUCAAACCUACAGGAUUCUCCUGCCUCUUCCUUCUAGUGCUGGGAUUAAAGGCCUUCACCACUAUGCUCCACACUUGAUAUAUUCCUAGAAGUCCAGUCUGCUCCGUUCCUGGGUGUGUAUCCCAGAAGACCUUGAACAUGUGUCCACAGAAGGACUUUUAGAUCAUCUUCACAGUAGUUCGUUCUUGGCAGCAAAAGUCUGGAAACAAGCCACGCACACUUACCAAGAGGAGAAUGGAUGAAUGACUUGUACACCCGUAUAACAGAGUACUAUCCUGUCACUAAAAUAAAUUAGCAACAUGUGAAAUAACAUUAGCGACACGCAAAAACAGUGUGUUGCUCCAGAGAAGCCAGACAGAAAGACUACACACAGUCAUCUACGAUGGCGAAUUAAUCUACUGUAGAGGCAGUGGCUCCCGCCUGCAACGGUGUGUAGAGGCCUGAAGGCAGCCUGGAUCUGCUCCUCAGCUAAGGUCCACCUUGUUUCGUUUGUUUACUAUUUAUUUAUUUCUGUUUACUUAUUUACUGGUUGUUGUUGUGGUGGGUUUUUGUUUGUUUGUUUUUUGAGACAGAGUUUCUCUGUGCAGUCCUGGCUGUCCUGAAACUCACUCUAUAGACCAGGCUGGCCUUGAACUCAGAGAUCUGCCUGCCUCUGCCUCCCAAGUGCUGGGAUUAAAGGUGUGUGCCACCAUGCCCAGCAUUUGUUUAAUAAAAAAAACAAUUAUGUGAAUGAA